GAUGAACGCUGGCGGCGUGCCUAAUACAUGCAAGUCGAGCGAAAAGACGAGGAGCUUGCGCCGCGGACGUUAGCGGCGGAGGGGUGAGUAACACGUGGAUAACCUACUUAUAAGACGGGUAUAAUUUCGGGAAACGGGAGAAAAUCCCGGAGAAUAUAUUGAACCGCGGGGUUCGUUGGUAAAAUACGGUUUUUCGGGAAGUAAUAGAGGGAUCCGCGCCGCAUUAGCUGGUUGGUAAGUUAACGGCUUACCAAGGGAACGAGGCGUAGCCGACCUGAGGGGGUGAUCGCCCACCUGGGAACGUAGACACGGUCCAGACUACUGAGGGAGGCAGCAGUAGGGAAUCUGCCGCAACGGGCGAAAGCCUGACGGAGCAACGCCGCGUGAGAGACGACGGUCCCCGGAUCGUAAAAACCUGUUAUUAGGUAAGAACAACUGUGUCAGUAAACAUGCCCGUAUUGACGGUAAUUAAUCAGAAAGCACCGGCUAACUACGUG
rnacentral:rRNA from 1 species